GUGAAUCAUCAAAUUUUUGAACGCAUAUUGCACUCUCUUGGAUGCCGGAGAGUAUGCCUAUGUGAGGGUAAAUUGAAAUAAUAUAAAUGCCAAGAUUUCUCGGAGUUUAAAAUGGGUUGGCCAUUUUUGUGGUCGCGUAAAAUCCAAGACAAGCUCAUUUUCUUGGUUUGCUUGAUACUUUCAGGUACUUCUUGACUUAACCAGGAAUCAUCGGGUGUGUUAUGAAUUUUUC
rnacentral:misc_RNA from 1 species